AUUGAACGCUGUCGGCAGGCCUAACACAUGCAAGUCUAACGAGUGGCGGACGGGUGAGUAAUUUCUGGGAAACUGCCUGAUGGCUGUGGAUAACUACUGUAAACGGUAGCUAAUACCCAUACCUUCGGCUGUGCCCAGAUGGGAUUAGCUAGUAGGUGGGGUAAAGGCUCACCUCGGCGACGAUCCCUAGCUGGUCUUAGAGGAUGACCAGCAACACUGGAACUGAGACACGGUCCAGACUCCUACGGGAGGCAGCAGUGGGGAAUAGUGCACAAUGGGAGCAAGCCUGAUGCAGCCAUGCCGCGUGUAUGAAGAAGGCCUUCGGGUUGUAAAGUACUUUCAGCGGGGAGGCGUUACCCGCAGAAGAAGAACCGGCUAACUCCGUGCCAGAAGCCGCGGUAAUAC
rnacentral:rRNA from 1 species